UGAUCCUGGCUCAGGACGAACGCUGGCGGCGUGCUUAACACAUGCAAGUCGAACGGAAAGGCCCCUUUGGGGGUACUCGAGUGGCGAACGGGUGAGUAACACGUGAGUAACCUGCCCUUGACUUCGGGAUAACUUCAGGAAACUGGGGCUAAUACCGGAUAGGAAUCCUUGCUGCAUGGUGGGGGUUGGAAAGCUUCGGCGGUUUUGGAUGGACUCGCGGCUUAUCAGCUUGUUGGUGGGGUAGUGGCUUACCAAGGCUUUGACGGGUAGCCGGCCUGAGAGGGCGACCGGCCACAUUGGGACUGAGAUACGGCCCAGACUCCUACGGGAGGCAGCAGUGGGGAAUAUUGCACAAUGGGCGGAAGCCUGAUGCAGCAACGCCGCGUGCGGGAUGACGGCCUUCGGGUUGUAAACCGCUUUCAGCAGGGGCGAAGCUUGUGGUGACGGUACCUGCAGAAGAAGCACCGGCUAACUACGUGCCAGCAGCCGCGGUGAUACGUAGGGUGCGAGCGUUGUCCGGAUUUAUUGGGCGUAAAGAGCUCGUAGGUGGUUGAUUGCGUCGGAAGUGAAAACUUGGGGCUUAACCCUGAGCGUGCUUUCGAUACGGGUUGACUUGAGGAAGGUAGGGGAGAAUGGAAUUCCUGGUGGAGCGGUGGAAUGCGCAGAUAUCAGGAGGAACACCAGUGGCGAAGGCGGUUCUCUGGACCUUUCCUGACGCUGAGGAGCGAAAGCGUGGGGAGCGAACAGGCUUAGAUACCCUGGUAGUCCACGCUGUAAACGGUGGGUACUAGGUGUGGGGUCCAUUCCACGGAUUCCGUGCCGUAGCUAACGCAUUAAGUACCCCGCCUGGGGAGUACGGCCGCAAGGCUAAAACUCAAAGGAAUUGACGGGGCCCCGCACAAGCGGCGGAGCAUGCGGAUUAAUUCGAUGCAACGCGAAGAACCUUACCUGGGUUUGACAUGGACUGGGAGUGCUCAGAGAUGGGUAUGCCUCCUUGUGGGGCUGGUUCACAGGUGGUGCAUGGCUGUCGUCAGCUCGUGUCGUGAGAUGUUGGGUUAAGUCCUGCAACGAGCGCAACC
rnacentral:rRNA from 1 species